rnacentral:rRNA from 1 species
UACGUAGGGGGCAAGCGUUGUCCGGAUUUAUUGGGCGUAAAGCGCUCGCAGGCGGUCCGAUGCGUCGUGCGUGAAAGACCCCGGCUCAACUGGGGAGGGUCGUGCGAUACGGUCGGACUCGAGGCCAGUAGGGGGACGCGGAAUUCCGGGUGUAGUGGUGGAAUGCGUAGAGAUCCGGAGGAACACCAGCGGCGAAGGCGGCGUCCUGGACUGG